rnacentral:rRNA from 1 species
CCUACGGGUGGCAGCAGUGGGGAAUAUUGGACAAUGGGGGGAACCCUGAUCCAGCGACGCCGCGUGAGUGAAGAAGUAUUUCGGUAUGUAAAGCUCUAUCAGCAGGGAAGAAAAUGACGGUACCUGACUAAGAAGCCCCGGCUAAAUACGUGCCAGCGGCCGCGGUACUACGUAGGGGGCAAGCGUAAUCCGGAUGUACUGGGUGUAAAGGGAGGGUAGACGGUGCAGCAAGUCUGAUGUGAAAGGUCGGGGCCCAACCCCGGGACUGCAUUGGAAACUGUUGAACUGGAGUGCAGGAGAGGUAAGCGGAAUUCCUAGUGUAGCGGUGAAAUGCGUAGAUAGUAGGAGGAACACCAGUGGCGAAGGCGGCUUACUGGACUGUAACUGACGUUGAGGCUCGAAAGCGUGGGGAGCAAACAGGAGUAGAUACCCUUGUAGUC